UACGAAGGGGGCUAGCGUUGUUCGGAUUUACUGGGCGUAAAGCGCACGUAGGCGGAUUGUUAAGUCAGGGGUGAAAUCCUGGAGCUCAACUCCAGAACUGCCUUUGAUACUGGCAAUCUUGAGUCCGGAAGAGGUGAGUGGAACUCCUAGUGUAGAGGUGGAAUUCGUAGAUAUUAGGAAGAACACCAGUGGCGAAGGCGGCUCACUGGUCCGGUACUGACGCUGAGGUGCGAAAGCGUGGGGAGCAAACAGGGAUAAGCA
rnacentral:rRNA from 1 species